UUUGACAUACGAGUAAUUUGAGUUACGAGCUCUGUCACGGAACGAAUUAAACUUGUAAGCCAAGGCCCCACUGUAUCAAGCUGAUUUGCCAACCUCUUGCAUUUUUACAUAAUAAAUCUAUCCUUUGAGAGAGAAGGGAAAUGGAAACAUGUUUCUUAAGUUAUCCGAAUCCAGUAUCUGUGUAGCUAGUAUUCACUGGAUAAUACUUCAAAAUGACAACUGAAUUUAUCUUUGGAGAAAUAAUUUUACUGUAAUACCUCCCCAGCUAUCUGGACUAAAAUGGCUAAGCUCAGUUGCAGCGUUAACUUUAAGAGGAGCUCAGCAUCAUAGUCUCCAGAUCCAGAGGGUAUAUUUCCCUUGGCUGCCCCUAGCUAGCUUAAUGCCUCCUAACCCCCUCCAUCCUGGAUGCUGGAUGGAUGGAUGGAUGGAUGGAUGGAUGGACGGAUGGAUGGUACUCAGGAGCCAGGAUGGGAGGUCUCGGGAACUUCUUCAGGGGAACUCAGUGAUGAAAUUGCUCUGAGCAUCACACCUGCCCAUUGUCAAAGUCACUGGAGCCAUAUGUCCGCUGGUCCCGUGUCCCUGUUCUUUUCAUGAUUCCCAGAAUCCUGGUGGCAGCCGUGGAACCAGCACUAGACCAGGCAGGACAUGGGCUUGAAGACCAGCUCUUCCUGUUCCCAGCCAGGGCUGUGUCAAGGAGCAGAUGGGGAGAAGAGAAUGUUGGACGAGCACGAAGUGUAAUUAUUAUAGCGCUGUGCCUACGGGAGACGGAGAGAAGAGGGCGCCCAGGCAGAUAACAAAGACAGAGACAGAAGAAAGUCACAGUUCCAGCAGCAAAUCCUGCCUGCCGUCAGACACAGUCUGAGGCACAGACUCUCACUGGCCCCUGUCCAGGACUCUGCCUCUUCUGAAAGCACAUGGAUUUCAUUGUGACGGAAAUGCUGACACUUAAAGGCUUCUAGGCGCCCUUCCCCCGAGGCGUUUCGCUAAUGUGUACCAGAACUUUUUUUUUUUUUUUUAAGAAAAAAAGAGAGAAAGAAAUGCUUUGCAAAGCAAAGGGUCUGCCUUCGGGCACUUGGAGCACAACUGUCUCCUGUUAAUGGCAACCUCGUUAAGAGAACAGGAAAUGACGUUCGUUGUGCUGGUGCCUUCCAUGGUACCAGCUACCAUUCGUGGGAACACGUGCCCUGUGCCAGGCACUGUGCUGCGUUCGUCUGUGGGUAAUCGCGUUUGCUCAGCACAUAAGGUAGGAGUUUUUUUUGUGUGUAUAUUAUAUAUAUUGAGGAAAUGGAGCCUUAAAGCCUUUAAGCAACUUGCCCAGAUUCACACAGCAAAUAAGUGGUGGAGCCAGAAUUUGAACCCGCAGGGGUCUGACUUCAGGGGCCUCUGCGAAUUAAACGGCACUGAUUAAUUCAUGCCAAGUCUCUAUGACAGUGGUUCUCAACCUUGGCUGCACAUUAGAAUCACCUGGG